rnacentral:rRNA from 1 species
GCCGCUGGCGGCAAGCCUUACACAUGCAAGUCGAGCGAGAAAGUUCUUCGGAACGAGUAGAGCGGCGGACGGGUGAGUAACGCGUAGAAAUCUGCCUGGUAGUGGGGGACAACAUGGGGAAACUCAUGCUAAUACCGCAUACGCCCUAUGGGGGAAAGCGGGGGAUCUUCGGACCUCGCGCUAUCAGAUGAGUCUGCGUAGGAUUAGCUUGUUGGUGGGGUAAAAGCCUACCAAGGCAACGAUCCUUAGCUGGUCUGAGAGGACGAUCAGCCACACUGGGACUGAGACACGGCCCAGACUCCUACGGGAGGCAGCAGUGGGGAAUAUUGCACAAUGGGCGCAAGCCUGAUGCAGCUAUGCCGCGUGUGUGAAGAAGGCUCUAGGGUUGUAAAGCACUUUCAAUUGGGAGAAAAAGCUAAUGGUUAAUACCCAUUAGCCCUGAUGUUACCUUUAGAAGAAGCACCGGCUAACUCCGUGCCAGCAGCCGCGGUAAU